CAUCUUGGUGGUUUCUACAAUUCUCUGGAAAAGGAAAAGAACUGAGAAAUGUUCAUGCAAGAGACCUAAAGCAAACGACACUGGUUUACAGAGUGGUGAAGAAAUUUACGAUAUUGUCGUCUAUGAGUGUGACACUGAGUGACGACAGCAGCAGCCCCUCAGAGAAGCCUGAUACAUCAGCCCUGACAUACACACUGUACAGCACUCCAAAGUCAAUAUGAAAUACAAACAUUGUGUCUCUUGCUUCCUUUUCACUUUGCUUUCUUAUCGACAUGUAAUUUGAUGUUAAAAGUGCUUUACACGAGAGGAGUGAUUCACACACAUUUACCUCACAUGUACACAAAUUCAUAUUGUCACAGUGUGCACUUCUGACCUGCCAUACAUGUCAU